GACGAACGCUGGCGGCGUGCCUAAUACAUGCAAGUCGAACGCUGAAGGAGGAGCUUGCUUCUCCGGAUGAGUUGCGAACGGGUGAGUAACGCGUAGGUAACCUGCCUGGUAGCGGGGGAUAACUAUUGGAAACGAUAGCUAAUACCGCAUAAGAGUAGAUGUCGCAUGACAUUUGCUUAAAAGGUGCAACUGCACCACUACCAGAUGGACCUGCGUUGUAUUAGCUAGUUGGUGAGGUAACGGCUCACCAAGGCAACGAUACAUAGCCGACCUGAGAGGGUGAUCGGCCACACUGGGACUGAGACACGGCCCAGACUCCUACGGGAGGCAGCAGUAGGGAAUCUUCGGCAAUGGACGGAAGUCUGACCGAGCAACGCCGCGUGAGUGAAGAAGGGUUUCGGAUCGUAAAGCUCUGUUGUAAGAGAAGAACGAGUGUGAGAGUGGAAAGUUCACACUGUGACGGUAUCUUAACAGAAAGGGACGGCUAACUACGUG
rnacentral:rRNA from 1 species